rnacentral:misc_RNA from 1 species
UCCGGUUUGUCACCGGCGGUCUCCUUAGAGUUCCCACCAUUACGUGCUGGCAACUAAGGACAAGGGUUGCGCUCGUUGCGGGACUUAACCCAACAUCUCACGACACGAGCUGACGACAGCCAUGCACCACCUGUGAUCCUGCCCAAAAGGGAAGCCGUGUUUCCACGGCGGUCAGGAACAUGUCAAACCCAGGUAAGGUUCUUCGCGUUGCAUCGAAUUAAUCCGCAUGCUCCGCCGCUUGUGCGGGCCCCCGUCAAUUUCUUUGAGUUUUAAUCUUGCGACCGUACUCCCCAGGCGGAUAACUUAAUGCGUUAGCUGCGCCACCAAAACCCUAAGGGCCCUGACAGCUAGUUAUCAUCGUUUACGGCGUGGACUAC